rnacentral:rRNA from 1 species
GAUGAACGCUGGCGGCGUGCCUAACACAUGCAAGUCGAACGAGACUGAAUCAACGAAGCUUCGGCAGAGAAGAGGAAAGUCGAGUGGCGGACGGGUGAGUAACACGUGGGUAACCUGCCUUAUAGAGGGGGAUAACAGAGAGAAAUCUCCGCUAAUACCGCAUAAGCGCACAGUGCCGCAUGGCAGUGUGUGAAAAACUCCGGUGGUGUGAGAUGGAUCCGCGUCUGAUUAGCCAGUUGGCGGGGUAACGGCCCACCAAAGCGACGAUCAGUAGCCGACCUGAGAGGGUGACCGGCCACAUUGGGACUGAGACACGGCCCAAACUCCUACGGGAGGCAGCAGUGGGGAAUAUUGCACAAUGGGCGAAAGCCUGAUGCAGCGACGCCGCGUGAGUGAAGAAGUAUUUCGGUAUGUAAAGCUCUAUCAGCAGGGAAGAAAAUGACGGUACCUGACUAAGAAGCCCCGGCUAACUACGUG